GACGAACGCUGGCGGCGUGCUUAACACAUGCAAGUCGAACGAUGAUGCGGUGCUUGCACCGUUGAUUAGUGGCGAACGGGUGAGUAACACGUGAGUAACCUGCCCUCUUCUUUGGGAUAACGGUCUGAAAGGGCUGCUAAUACUGAAUAUUCACAUGUCUUCGCAUGGGGGUGUGUGGAAAGAGAUGCUUUUGGGUGUUUUUGGUGGGGGAUGGGCUCGCGGCCUAUCAGCUUGUUGGUGGGGUAGUGGCCUACCAAGGCUUUGACGGGUAACCGGCCUGAGAGGGUGACCGGUCACAUUGGGACUGAGAUACGGCCCAGACUCCUACGGGAGGCAGCAGUGGGGAAUUUUGCACAAUGGACGCAAGUCUGAUGCAGCGACGCCGCGUGAGGGAUGUAGGCCUUCGGGUUGUGAACCUCUUUCGCUCAUGGUCAAGCCGCAGCUUUGGGUUGUGGUGAGGGUAGUGGGUAAAGAAGCGCCGGCUAACUACGUGCCAGCAGCCGCGGUGAUACGUAGGGCGCGAGCGUUGUCCGGAAUAUUGGGCAUAAAGGCUUUCUAUCGCCUGCCCCCGUCUGCGAGAAAUCCUUUAGCUUAACUGGGGUUUUUUAUUUGGUUCCGGUUGUCUU
rnacentral:rRNA from 1 species